CUGUCCAGAAUAAGGGGGCAGCGCUGAGGAUUUCUCUCGGACAGCACAGGAAAGGGACGCACGGUGAGCGAGAAAGAAGAAUAGUGUGCUGGCGAGGGAGAUUCACGGCCACAAUUUGAGCUUCCUGCGUCAUAAGGAAUUUUGAUGGCAAGAAGGAAAACAAGGAGAUUGGAGACAAAGAAGCAAAAGUGUGCUGGCAGAUUUGACCUUCUGUGCUUCUUUCAAAUUUUUGGCCAAGUUAUAAUCCCAGAACGUGAAUGAUGUCUUCAGAGACAUUGUAGAGGACUUAUUGGGCUUUCUGUAAUGGUAUGAUUUGUCCAAAUCCAAGUUCGUUUGGGCCUCCAAACAUCGCUUCAAAGUUGGGGUUGAAAAGUUGGGUCAAAUUAGGAAAGCUGCACAGACGCUGAAUCUUUAAAAGGCCAUAACUUGGGCGUCCGAUAUCGAAAUCAAGUGAUUAAAAAUCCAAAAUUCAUCUACUCUUCCUGAUCUACAAUUUUUAUGAAGGGGACGAAGCCCAGAACGCACGUUAUCCUAUUCGAAAUCAGAUGUGAAGUUUCAGUAACCUAGGGUUUCCUCCCUAAGCUCUAUUUAAGCACAUUAAAAGGCCAUUAGAGGAUGAAUUCCUUUCUCAUGUGAACAGUAGCCGAUUUUCCUUUUCUCCAUUGUUCUUGUCAAGAUGGAAGGCUAAGGAUUUUGUAACCAGUUGCAUGCCAUACUCCUUAUCCGGUUUGAAUCUUUGGACGUUUUUGUAUAUCUGUUUUCAUCUUUAAUCUUAUGGUUUUGUUUCUUCGCU